rnacentral:sRNA from 1 species
AGUGAACUUCGUUUGUAGUGGAAAUCCUUUUAUGAAGCGCAGCGGAGUAAAAGAUUACAACGAAUAGCCCGACCUUUU